rnacentral:sRNA from 2 species
UGGAAAAAUAUGCUUAAUUCCGUGAUCGGAAGCGGAGGAACCAAUUCCGGGGUGAAUCCUAUGUUAAUAGGUAGGGUUUCCUUUCGACCCGAACCCGUCAGCUAACUUCGUAAGCAUGAAGGAAAGGAUGG